rnacentral:rRNA from 1 species
UGGGCGGACGGGUGAGUAAUGUCUGGGAAACUGCCCGAUGGAGGGGGAUAACUACUGGAAACGGUAGCUAAUACCGCAUAACGUCGCAAGACCAAAGAGGGGGACCUUCGGGCCUCUUGCCAUCGGAUGUGCCCAGAUGGGAUUAGCUAGUAGGUGGGGUAACGGCUCACCUAGGCGACGAUCCCUAGCUGGUCUGAGAGGAUGACCAGCCACACUGGAACUGAGACACGGUCCAG